UACGUUCCCGGGUCUUGUACACACCGCCCGUCAAGUCACCUGAAUUGUCUUCACCCGAAGCACGUGGCCUAACCGCAAGGAAGGAGCGUUCGAAGGUGAGGGGGUAAGGGGACU
rnacentral:rRNA from 1 species